rnacentral:sRNA from 25 species
AUCUUCACUGUCACGCUCGCGCCGGUAUCAAAUCCCGCUUCUGUCAGCCAGUCACCCUUGAGAUGCAGGCUGGGAAUGCGUGAGUAAUAGGUGGUCAUGUGGGUUUUGCUGUUCUCGUGGCGGACGCUG